rnacentral:rRNA from 2 species
GACGAACGCUGGCGGCGUGCCUAAUACAUGCAAGUCGAACGAACUCUGGUAUUGAUUGGUGCUUGCAUCAUGAUUUACAUUUGAGUGAGUGGCGAACUGGUGAGUAACACGUGGGAAACCUGCCCAGAAGCGGGGGAUAACACCUGGAAACAGAUGCUAAUACCGCAUAACAACUUGGACCGCAUGGUCCGAGCUUGAAAGAUGGCUUCGGCUAUCACUUUUGGAUGGUCCCGCGGCGUAUUAGCUAGAUGGUGGGGUAACGGCUCACCAUGGCAAUGAUACGUAGCCGACCUGAGAGGGUAAUCGGCCACAUUGGGACUGAGACACGGCCCAAACUCCUACGGGAGGCAGCAGUAGGGAAUCUUCCACAAUGGACGAAAGUCUGAUGGAGCAACGCCGCGUGAGUGAAGAAGGGUUUCGGCUCGUAAAACUCUGUUGUUAAAGAAGAACAUAUCUGAGAGUAACUGUUCAGGUAUUGACGGUAUUUAACCAGAAAGCCACGGCUAACUACGUGCCAGCAGCCGCGGUAAUACGUAGGUGGCAAGCGUUGUCCGGAUUUAUUGGGCGUAAAGCGAGCGCAGGCGGUUUUUUAAGUCUGAUGUGAAAGCCUUCGGCUCAACCGAAGAAGUGCAUCGGAAACUGGGAAACUUGAGUGCAGAAGAGGACAGUGGAACUCCAUGU